rnacentral:rRNA from 1 species
GAUGAACGCUGGCGGCGUGCCUAAUACAUGCAAGUCGAGCGAACAGACGAGGAGCUUGCUCCUCUGACGUUAGCGGCGGACGGGUGAGUAACACGUGGAUAACCUACCUAUGAGACUGGGAUAACUUCGGGAAACCGGAGCUAAUACCGGAUAAUAUAUUGAACCGCAUGGUUCAAUAGUGAAAGACGGUUUUGCUGUCACUUAUAGAUGGAUCCGCGCCGCAUUAGCUAGUUGGUAAGGUAACGGCUUACCAAGGCAACGAUGCGUAGCCGACCUGAGAGGGUGAUCGGCCACACUGGAACUGAGACACGGUCCAGACUCCUACGGGAGGCAGCAGUAGGGAAUCUUCCGCAAUGGGCGAAAGCCUGACGGAGCAACGCCGCGUGAGUGAUGAAGGUCUUCGGAUCGUAAAACUCUGUUAUUAGGGAAGAACAAAUGUGUAAGUAACUAUGCACGUCUUGACGGUACCUAAGCAGAAAGCCACGGCUAACUACGU